rnacentral:rRNA from 1 species
CAGUCGCCACGGGAAUACGUAGGGUGCAAGCGUUAAUCGGAAUUACUGGGCGUAAAGCGUGCGUAGGCGGCUUCUUAAGUCGGAUGUGAAAUCCCUGAGCUUAACUUAGGAAUUGCAUUCGAUACUGGGAAGCUAGAGUAUGGGAGAGGAUGGUAGAAUUCCAGGUGUAGCGGUGAAAUGCGUAGAGAUCUGGAGGAAUACCGAUGGCGAAGGCAGCCAUCUGGCCUAAUACUGACGCUGAGGUACGAAAGCAUGGGGAGCAAAUAGGAUUAGAUACCCGCGUAGUCCCUGUCUCUUAUAC